CAGUAGCCGCGGUAAUACGUAGGUGGCAAGCGUUGUCCGGAAUUAUUGGGCGUAAAGGGCUCGCAGGCGGUUUCUUAAGUCUGAUGUGAGAGCCCCCGGCUCAACCGGGGAGGGUCAUUGGAAACUGGGAAACUUGAGUGCAGAAGAGGAGAGUGGAAUUCCACGUGUAGCGGUGAAAUGCGUAGAGAUGUGGAGGAACACCAGUGGCGAAGGCGACUCUCUGGUCUGUAACUGACGCUGAGGAGCGAAAGCGUGGGGAGCGAACAGGAUUAGAGACCCCGGUAGUCCCUGUCUCUUAUAC
rnacentral:rRNA from 1 species